AAGACUCGGAAGCUGUAUCGUCCAACGUUGAGGUUGAGGCUGUGUCCACAGAGCUACUAUCACAAUCUGAAGAUGCAAGACUUUGGUCCUCUGUCGGUUGUUUCAAGUGCCAAUACAUUAUACUUGCUGUCAGCGAUUUGCACUGCUUCCAUUUUUCUCACUGUUUUCUUACUCUCUAUACUUGGAUUUGCUACACUUGAGCCGAGGGUCUUUUGAAAACGGUAUCUCUACCUCUACGAGGUAAUGGUAAGGCCUGCGUAUACUUUACCCUCCACAGACCCCACUUGUGGAUUCCACUGGGUAUGUUGAUGUUGUUAUCCAUUUGAUGAUAAAUUGUUAUCGUGAUGCCAAACUAUAAAUAUUAUGCGUGAAAAUAUCAAGAACCAAUUUAUUUUGUGCACCACCAA